UUUCUGCUUCUCUCUGUCCCUAAAAACAUAGUACAAAACCAGACAGUAGGGAAGAGAGAGAAUUAUUUUAUUUCUUUGGAGACAGAAUCUUGCUUUGUUGCCCUGGCUGGAGUGCAGUGGUGUUAUCCUAGCUCUCAGCAACCUCAACCUCCUGAGCUCAAGAAAUAGCCUCCCAAGUAGUGCGAAGAACCUGCCACAACACCCAGCUAAUUUUUCUAUUUUUAAUAGAAAUGGUCUCACUCUUGCUCAGUCUGGUCUCAAACUCCUGACCUCAAGUGAUCCUCAUUGCCUCUGCCUCCCAGAAUCUAGGAUUAUGGUGUGAGCCACAGCCUGGCCCUGGCUUUUUAUCUUUAUUAGCUUUUUUCUUUUGCUUAUCUCAUUGAUUCCACUGUUCCUUUCUAAUGUUUAGGUGCUUAAGUAUUUUUCUCACCUACGCAUGUGUGUAGGAGUCAACUGAGGACUGCUUUGCAUGGGAUGUGAACAUCCCAGAGUAAGAUGAGACUGAUGAGAGCCAUACAAGAGAAUGGGCCUGGGACUCGGGAACUCUGCAGUCGGCUUUGUUUUCUUACGGCUUUUGACAGAAGAACCAGGGAAAGGAGCCUUGGGGAAAUCAGAGAGUGAUUAGAGGACCACACGGAAGAGGAAAAAUUCUGUGUACAAACCAAGCAUGAUUCUACCUGACUUCUGAACCAUGAACAUACAAGGUAAACUGAACACAGAAGGAGCUACAGUUUAAAAGAACUGAUCCGAAACCGAGGCCACUAUCCACUGCAAGCAUGACAGGCUACAAUUUGAGUCCAAGUAAAUUGCCUGUUGUUAACAAAACAUCAACAUUUUUCAGAGCAAUAUAAGAAAAUACAGAAUUUCCACAACAUGACUUUCACUGUGUCCAGGAUAGGAACUAAAUGGUUGAUGAAGAAUGAGGAAAACAUGACCCAACUCUUAGGGGAAAAGAAAUGUAAAGGAAAAAUUCAGUGAUCUUUAACCAUGCAAUCUGAAAAAGAGAAAGAAAAAAAUGGAACGAUAAACAGACUUCGAGGACCUAUGUAGAACAAUUUCAGUAAGUAUAAGCUAAAUUGGAGUCUCAGGGGGAAAAGGAGACAGACAGGAAAAACAAAUUAGGAAAAAUAAUAGUCUACAACCUCCCAGAUCAAAUUUGGGCCCUGAGGAACUUUAAAGCUAUUUAAAAACAACUUAGUACAAUGUACAAACAAGGUCUGACCAUUAAGUUUGUGAACUGGCCACCAUGCACGUACAUUGGCAGCACUGUACAAACAACUCAGUAAGGUUUCAUAACCUUAGUAAAUCAGUGUCUCACACAUGUCAGUGUGGCAUGUGGCAGUGUCUUGCUGAGUGGCAUUCAUUAUUGUAUGUUUUGCACACUGUCACAGAAUUUUGGAGCUUAAAUUAGAGUAAUGAAUAAACAUUAAAUUUCUUGUUAAAUUUGGCAAGUGUGGAAGUGACACCAGGGACAGGUUAGUCCCUGGGGAUAAUCCAUGAAGAAAACAGCAGUGUAUAAAUGAAUAAAACAUUUUCCUGAGGGGAAAGAAAGUAUCACAGAUGAAGGGAAGUCAGGAUGGCCAGUAAUGAGCAGAAUUGAUGAAAACAUUACAAAAAUUCAUCGACUUGUGUGUCAAAAUCAUUGGCUGACUGUGAGAAGCAGAGCAUACCAAGUAAACUUUGAUAGAGAAACAGGGAAAUCUUAACUGAAAAUCUUGGCCAUCAACUCAUGACUCUAGAGUCAUCACAACAAUGCACCAGCUCACAUGACACUGUCUUUAACGGAGUUUUUAGCCAGUAAAACAAAUAAUUGUAUUAGAACACACUCCCUUCUCACCUGAUCUGGCCCCAAAUGACUUUUUUCUUUACCUGACAGAAGACAUUUUGAUGACAUUCAAGACAUCAAGAGUAAUAACAACAAUAGCUCUGACAGCCAUUCCAGAAAAGAAGUUCUAAAAUUGCUUUGAAGGGUAGACUAUGUGUUGGCAUUGGUGCACAGCUUCCCAAGGGGAGUAUUUCAAAGCUGACCCUAGCGAUAUUCAGCAAUGAGGAUUUCUAGGAUGAGUUCACCAACUUAACUGACACAUCCCUUCCUAUACAUUUCACAAAUGAGAAAACUGAGGUCCAAAGAGGUUGAGUGACCUGUCCAAAGUACUAGAGGUGGGACUAGUGGAAAAGGUGGCAAUCCUGAUAGCCAUGUGUCACUUAACAAUGGGGUGAAAUAUGUUGUUAGGUCAUUUAGUCACUCUGUGAGCAUCACAGAGUACACUUACACAAACCUAGAUGGUACAACCUACUACACAACUAGGCUACCAACCUGUACAUCAUGUCACUGUACGGAUGUUGUAGGCAAUGGUAACACAAUGCCAGGUAUCUGUGUAUCUAAAUACAGAAAUAAUGAUUUGAUAUUACAACCACAUGGACCACCAUUGGAUAUGAUAGGUCUUCAUUGACUGAAAUUCUUAGACAAAAGUUAGGUGCGCUCAUCCCUAACAUAACCUAUUAGUAAAUGCAAUAUUUUCUGUUCUUUCUAAAAUAAGAAAUGAUAAAUAAAUU